AAUAGAUACCCGGGUAGUCCACGCCGUAAACGAUGCGGACUAGGUGUCGGGGUAUCGACCCCCUCGGCGCCGCAGCUAACGCAUUAAGUCCGCCGCCUGGGGACUACGGCCGCAAGGCUAAAACUCAAAGGAAUUGACGGGGGCCCGCACAAGCAGCGGAGCGUGUGGUUUAAUUCGAUGCAACGCGCAGAACCUUACCUCGGCUUGACAUGCACGUGGUACUGAUCCGAAAGGUGAGGGACCCGCGAGGGAGCGUGCACAGAUGCUGCAUGGCUGUCGUCAGCUCGUACCGUGAGGUGUUGGGUUAAGUCCCGCAACGAGCGCAACCCUUGUCCUUAGUUGCCUUCUCUAAGGAGACCGCCGGUCUAAACCGGAGGAAGGUGGGGAUGACGUCAAGUCAGCACGGCUCUUACGUCGAGGGCUACACACACGUUACAAUGGCCGGUACAACGGGCUGCGAAGGGGCGACCUGGAGCCAAUCCCACCAAAGCCGGUCUCAGUUCGGAUUGCAGGCUGCAACUCGCCUGCAUGAAGUCGG
rnacentral:rRNA from 1 species